rnacentral:lncRNA from 1 species
GGUCCCGGACCAAGAUGGCGACCGCUGCUGCUGUGGCUUAGGUCGCCUCCCCAGCCGGGCGGGCACCUGUCCUCCGGUCCGGAAGGUGGCCGGCUGUCCCCGGCCCACACAGGGUGCUGCCUCAGCGCCUCUGUGCUUCUGCCUGUUCCAGAGGCUGUCAGGUUCUCUGGCGCACCCUCUCACCUGUUCAGACUAAUUUCCUAAGUUCGGCGGGUCCAGGACCAAGAUGGCGACCGCUGCUGCUGUGGCUUAGGCCGCCUCCCCAGCCGGCCCCAUCCUUCUUCUCCAGAACCCGCUUCCACCCAGCAGGCAGCUACAGGUGGCACCCAACGUGGGUCCUGAACAUGGAAGGAACAAUUGGGGGAAAACACUUUCUUGGUGGAGCUCCAAAGAUGGUAUCUGGCACGAUGCUCCCACUAUGACAUUCUCCCUCAACGCACACUCAGGGAAACAGGACCAAGGAGCCAUGGAUUCAAGUUUCCAAAAGUCACUGUUAGCCUGAGCUCAAACAGUAGGUGAAAGAAACCAAAUAAGGAUCGCACAGAGGUACUGAGAGUAAAUAAGAUGAUUUAAGAACUACGAAGAAGCAAGCAAUGACCUAACUGUACCUUAAGGUGUAGAGAACUCGACCAUCAUUCCAAAUUCUCAGCAUCCUGUUGGGAGUGGUGAUCCAGUGAGCAUCAGCCUUUUUGGAGUUCCUGAAGAAAGUGUCUGGAAUCCAGAUUUUCCCCACCAUAUUGCUAUUCAACCGGAGAACUUUAAUGGUACUGUUAAAUUUCAAACGUCUGUCAUACCAGGUUUGGGCAAAAAAAAUAUCAAUUGUAUAUUCCUGUUUUAAAAAGAACAGAAGAUUUAAAAUGUUUAUUUAUUUAUUUUUUUUAAUCUUGUGCUUACUGCCAGUAUGAGACAUCAUGGGAUAGUGCAUCAGCAGACAAUAGCUUUGCUGGUGAGGUCGCUACCUCAACUGUCUUUUACUCUAGUUUCAGACAUUUAUGAUUUCUGGCCAAAUCUCCAAACCCUGGUAACUACCUUCCUUCAUACACAUACAAAACAAGAAGGCAGACCAUUAUUUGCUAGGGAGAAGUAGAGGUGGGCGCUUCCUUAUCCACUGUAGGAUAUUUAGCAUGACCUCUGCCUCUAUGUCCCAAGUACCAAUGUUACCUAAAAGAAUAAUUGUUCCAGGUUCACUACUGUAGAGAAAAUCGAAGCCCUACGCAUCCAAUAUACUUAAAUAGAGUUGUAGGUUCAGCUGCCUUACAAUAAAAGAAAGGCUCUAAAGAUGCCCAAUGGUUACCCCUGUGAAAAUGUAUAAAAUGCUUUGCCCCUGACAAAUAGCAAAUUCAAAAGACAACAUACUAGAAGUUAUGACUGUUUAUUCCAUUUCUCUAGAUACAAUUAACAUAAUUAAAUUGCUCACUUUGCUUAGCUAUGCAAUACUUUUAUUUAUGAGUGGAUUAGAAUAAAGUUAUUUUAUUAAGACAUUGGUAGUGAUUCUUACGCUGAAUUAAUCUCUCUCAUGAAGCAUAUUCUUAAAUGUAAUAAUGACAGGUGAACAUAACAAUUCACUAUAAGAGCCUAUCAAAUAUAAGGUGGGUGACUUCAGACAAAGACAGGCAAGUACUGUGUGACAUUUAGACCUGCAGGGCUAGAAUUAGAAAACAGUGGGUCUGGUGAGGCUGCCACAUUCAUAGGCAAUCCCGAGGAAAUCCUUCUUUAUUAGUUGUGCUUUGUUACCCCUCUUUUUACAAAAGAAAAACUAACCCUAAUACAAGGGUCCACCUUCAAGGUCCCGGAUACUUGUCUUAGCAUUUUGACUUUGUCAUCAGUAUGAGAGUUUUUAAUGAAAAACAAAAUCUUGCUGACAUUUUGUGUGGUUUUUGUUGUUGCUUUUGUUUAUUUGUUGGUUUUAGUUUUUGUGAUUCUUCAGCACUUCAGAAAUCCUUCCUUUGGGUCAGUUUCUGACUGUGUGUUUUUCACUUGUCCACUCAUUUAAUAAACCACUGUACAUCUAUAAU